rnacentral:rRNA from 1 species
CGUGUAGGCGGCGAUUUAAGUCUGGAGUGAAAGUCCUGCUUUUAAGGUGGGAAUUGCUUUGGAUACUGGAUGGCUAGAGUGCAGGAGAGGUUAGUGGAAUUCCCAGUGUAGCGGUGAAAUGCGUAGAUAUUGGGAAGAACACCAGUGGCGAAGGCGGCUUUCUGGACUGUAACUGACGCUGAGGCUCGAAAGGCUGGGUAGGCAACG